rnacentral:tRNA from 1 species
UCUGAUAGGACAUCUUCCGUUGUAGUCUAGUUGGUUAGGAUACUCGGCUCUCACCCGAGAGACCCGGGUUCAAGUCCCGGCAACGGAAU